rnacentral:rRNA from 1 species
CCUACGGGAGGCAGCAGUGGGGGAUAUUGGACAAUGGGGGAAACCCUGAUCCAGCGACGCCGCGUGAGUGAAGAAGUAUUUCGGUAUGUAAAGCUCUAUCAGCAGGGAAGAAAGAAAUGACGGUACCUGAGUAAGAAGCCCCGGCUAACUACGUGCCAGCAGACGCGGUAAUUCGUAGGGGGCAAGCGUUAUCCGGAAUUACUGGGUGUAAAGGGAGCGUAGACGGUAAUGCAAGUCUGGAGUGAAAGGCGGGGGCCCAACCCCCGGACUGCUCUGGAAACUGUGUAACUGGAGUGCAGGAGAGGCAGGCGGAAUUCCUAGUGUAGCGGUGAAAUGCGUAGAUAUUAGGAGGAACACCAGUGGCGAAGGCGGCCUGCUGGACUGUAACUGACGUUGAGGCUCGAAAGCGUGGGGAGCAAACAGGAUUAGAUACCCGUGUAGUC